UGUCUUGUAUUUUGUGUUUGUUGAUGUACAAAAUCUUUGUUAUUGGGUGAGGCAAUAGAAGAGUAUUAUGGAUGAGAGGCCUCAACCCAGGCAAGGGGAAGACCAUCAGUGAGAUGAUAUAAUAGCUGAUAUGGGGAUAUUUUGAAUUGGAGCUUUUUAUUAUAACCAUUGGCUUCUUAGCAUAAUUUUUGCCCCUUCAAGCAUUUCUUAAAUAUUCAUCAUCUAUUGUAUUUGUUCCUAUGAGGUG
rnacentral:lncRNA from 1 species